rnacentral:rRNA from 1 species
AUUGAACGCUGGCGGCAUGCCUUACACAUGCAAGUCGAGCGGCAGCACGGGAGCAAUCCUGGUGGCGAGUGGCGAACGGGUGAGUAAUAUAUCGGAACGUGCCCAGUCGUGGGGGAUAACGUAGCGAAAGCUACGCUAAUACCGCAUACGAUCUAUGGAUGAAAGCGGGGGAUCGCAAGACCUCGCGCGAUUGGAGCGGCCGAUAUCAGAUUAGGUAGUUGGUGGGGUAAAGGCUCACCAAGCCGACGAUCUGUAGCUGGUCUGAGAGGACGACCAGCCCCACUGGGACUGAGACACGGCCCAGACUCCUACGGGAGGCAGCAGUGGGGAAUUUUGGACAAUGGGCGCAAGCCUGAUCCAGCAAUGCCGCGUGCAGGAUGAAGGCCUUCGGGUUGUAAACUGCUUUUGUACGGAGCGAAAAGGCUUCCACUAAUACUGGGGGCUCAUGACGGUACCGUAAGAAUAAGCACCGGCUAACUACGUGCCAGCAGCCGCCGUAAGAC